GGAGGGCUGUAUGUAGCUCAGCGGCACGGCACAUGCCUUGUCUGCAAAAGGUCCAAGGUUCGAAUCAUGGCGUCUCCA